CAAAACAUGGUGAUGAUGAUGAUGAUGGUGCUGAUGAUGAUGCGGCUCCAGACUACAGAGGGUUUGGCCAGCGAUAGCUAACUGUAAGAGGAAAUCAGAUGCAGUGUGUUUAUCGCACAUGGGACUGAUCUCCAUCCCUCGCUCUCUCUCCUUGUCUCCCUGCCUGAAGAACUCCUCCAUGAUCCUCUCCGUCCAUUGGCGAUAGACCGCAAGGGGCUUAGUUGGGUUGCUCAGGUUCUGAAAGAUGUCGCAGUUCUCCUCAUGAAGCAGCUUGAAGCCCACAGCCAGGUGGUGGUUCUCCAACACAGACUCAUCAUUAUACAUCAGGGCUAGCUCUGAGUCUGGGAGA